GAUGAACGCUGGCGGCGUGCCUAAUACAUGCAAGUCGAGCGAACAGACGAGGAGCUUGCUCCUCUGACGUUAGCGGCGGACGGGUGAGUAACACGUGGAUAACCUACCUAUAAGACUGGGAUAACUUCGGGAAACCGGAGCUAAUACCGGCUCAUAUAUUGAACCGCAUGGUUCAAUAGUGAAUGACGGUUUUGCUGUCACUUAUAGCUGGAUCCGCGCCGCAUUAGCUAGUUGGUAAGGUAACGGCUUACCAAGGCAACGAUGCGUAGCCGACCUGAGAGGGUGAUCGGCCACACUGGAACUGAGACACGGUCCAGACUCCUACGGGAGGCAGCAGUAGGGAAUCUUCCGCAAUGGGCGAAAGCCUGACGGAGCAACGCCGCGUGAGUGAUGAAGGUCUUCGGAUCGUAAAACUCUGUUAUUAGGGAAGAACAAAUGUGGAAGUAACUAUGCACGUCUUGACGGUACCUAAUCAGAAAGCCACGGCUAACUACGUG
rnacentral:rRNA from 1 species